GAUGAACGCUGGCGGCGUGCCUAAUACAUGCAAGUCGAGCGAACAGACGAGGAGCUUGCUCCUCUGACGUUAGCGGCGGACGGGUGAGUAACACGUGGAUAACCUACCUAUAAGACUGGGAUAACUUCGGGAAACCGGAGCUAAUACCGGAUAAUAUAUUGAACCGCAUGGUUCAAUAGUGAAAGACGGUUUUGCUGUCACUUAUAGAUGGAUCCGCGCCGCAUUAGCUAGUUGGUAAGGUAACGGCUUACCAAGGCAACGAUGCGUAGCCGACCUGUGAGGGUGAUCGGCCACACUGGAACUGAGCCACGGUCCAGACUCCUACGGGAGGCAGCAGUCGGGAAUCUUCCGCAAUGGGCGAAAGCCUUACGGAGCAACGCCGCGUGAGUGAUGAAGGUCUUCGGAUCGUAAAACUCUGUUAUUAGGGAAGAACAAAUGUGUAAGUAACUAUGCACGUCUUGACGGUACCUAAUCAGAAAGCCACGGCUAACUACGUG
rnacentral:rRNA from 1 species